UGACAGCAAGUUAGGAUACUUAGAUAAGGGUCUUCCACAAGACAAAGCAGCACCAUUUUUUGAUAGGCUUGUAUUUGAUAAGAUAAAACAAGGCUUAGGUGGAAGAGUUCGGCUUCUAUUAUCCGGCGCUACUUCUAUUUAUUUAUGUCACAUGCUGUUUAAAAUCUCUAUUAAAUCAUAAGAAUGUUUCCUAGAUUGAGAUGCAAUUCUAUACUCAUUUAUUUUGCAGAAAGCGGCAACUAAGAGAAUGGAUAUGCAAGCAUCAAAAGAAUUCCUUGCUGAACUCAAGGUUCUAACACACGUCCAUCACUUGAACUUGAAUGUGGGCUAGGCUAUUAUCUUUGACGAAUCAACCCAGCUUUUUGGGCAACAAGUGUUACAAGAUAACAUCGAAGAAGAACCACUAAACCAGCUACUACAUGGAGAAUUUCCAGAUGACACCUUGGUUAAGAAAGAAAUUAACAGCAUUUAACAAUAUGCUUCCUAAAUGUUAUUGUCAUUCCUUCAUACCCCUUCACUAUGCUAUAUGCAUUUAAUUUUUAGUAGUAUAUAUGAGAUUUUUUCUUCUCUUUUUUUUGAGCCCCUCCACUCCAUAAAAUGGCUGGGGAAAAAUUAGCCUCACAUUGUUGUUAUUUUUGUAAAACUUGUGGGAUUGAAUUUGAAUUUGUUGAAAUACAAUGUCAUUUUUGGAGAAUUCAACUUUUGAUAAUAGAAAUCUUUGAUGUUGGAGAGAUUA